UGGGGAAUAUUGGACAAUGGGGGCAACCCUGAUCCAGCAAUGCCGCGUGUGUGAAGAAGGCCUUCGGGUUGUAAAGCACUUUUGGCAGGGAGGAAGGUGUAGAGUUUAAGAGACACUACAUUUGACUGUACCUGCAGAAUAAGCACCGGCUAACUCUGUGCCAGCAGCCGCGGUAAUACAGAGGGUGCAAGCGUUAAUCGGAGUUACUGGGCGUAAAGGGCGCGUAGGCGGUUGAUUAAGUGAGAUGUGAAAUCCCUGGGCUUAACCUAGGAACUGCAUCUCAUACUGGUUGACUGGAGUAUUGUAGAGGGUAGUGGAAUUUCCGGUGUAGCGGUGAAAUGCGUAGAGAUCGGAAGGAACACCAGUGGCGAAGGCGGCUACCUGGACAAAUACUGACGCUGAGGCGCGAGAGCGUGGGGAGCAAACAGG
rnacentral:rRNA from 1 species